AACGAACGCUGGCGGCAUGCCUAACACAUGCAAGUCGAACGAGGCCUUCGGGUCUAGUUGCGCACGGGUGCGUAACGCGUGGGAACCUUCCCUUAUGGUCGGAAUAACUCCCCGAAAGGGGUGCUAAUACCGGAUAAUGUCUUCGGACCAAAGAUUUAUCGCCUUUGGAUGGGCCCGCGUUGGAUUAGCUAGUUGGUAGGGUAAAAGCCUACCAAGGCUACGAUCCAUAGCUGGUCUGAGAGGAUGAUCAGCCCCCCUGGGACUGAGACACGGCCCAGACUUCUACGGGAGGAAGCAGUGGGGAAUAUUGGACAACGGGCGAAAGACUGAUCCAGCAAUGCCGCGUGAGUGAUGAAGGCCUUAGGGUUGUAAAGCUCUUUUACCAGGGAUGAUAAUGACAGUACCGGGAGAAUAAGCUACGGCUAACUACGUG
rnacentral:rRNA from 1 species